AUGCUGCGGCUGCGGAGGUACAGCCUGCGGAGAAACUGCAAAGACGCUGUCAGUGCACGUUGUCGCGGCUGUGGCGCGUGCCCUCCCUUGGCAGGCCGGACUUGUCUCCAGAAAUGCCUUGGGUUCAUCUUUCACUGCUGCAAGGAAUUUCCAUACCUCUAACACUCAUCUUCAGAAGACAGACUGCUGAGAUGUCCUCUAUUCUUGAAAGCAUAUUCUUGGAGCUGAUACCUCUGUUGACCUUGAAGAAACUGGGCUUAAGUAUCGGUGAUGGUAUUGCCCAUGUGCAUGGGCUGAGGAAUGUUCAAGCAGAAAAAAUGGCAGAAUUUUCUUCAGGCUUAAAGAUUAUGUCCUUGAACUUGGAAACUGACAAUGUUGGUGUUGUCAUUGGAAACAAUAAACUAAUUAAGGAAGGGGAUAUAGGGAAGAGGACAGGAGUCACUGUGGACGCUCCAGCUGCUGAGGAGCUGUUGGGUGAUGUCAUUGAUGCCCUUGGCAAUGCUACUGAUGGAAAGGGUCCAAUUGGUUCCAAUACCCAUAGGUGAGUUGGUAUGAAAGCCCCCAGAAUCAUUCCUCAAGUUUCAGUGCAGAAAUCAACGUACACUGGCAUUAAGGUUAUGGAUAGCUUGGUACCAAUUGGCCGUGGCCAGUGUGAGCCAAUAGACUGGGAAAACUUCAAUUGCUAUUGACACAGUCAUUAACCAGAAAUAUUUCAAUGAUGGAUCUGAUGAAAAGAAGCUGUACUGUAUCUAUGUUGCUAUUGAUCCAAAGAGAUCCACUCUUGCCCAGUUGGUGAAGACACUUAGAGAGGCAGAUGCUAUGAAUUGCACCAUUGUGGUGUCAGCUAUGGCCUUGGUUGCUGUCCCACUUCAGUGCCUGCCUCCCUACUCUGGCUGUUACAUAGGAGAGUAUUUUAGAGGCAAUGGCAAACAUGCUUUGAUCAUCUACGAUGACUUAUUCAAACAGGCUGUUACUUACCGUCAGAUGUCUCUGUUACUCCACUGACCCCCUGGUCAUGAGGUGUAUCCUGGUGAUGUGUUCUACCCAUAUUACUGGUUGCUGGAGAAAGCAACCAAGAUGAACAAUGCUUUUGGCUCCUUGACUGCUUUGCCAGUCAUAGAGACACAGGCUGGUGAUGUGUCUGCUUACAUUCCAACGAAAGUCAUUUCCAUCACUGACAGACAGAUCAUUUUGGGAACAGAAUUGUUCUACAGAGGUAUCCACCCUACCAUUAAUGUUGGUCUGUCUGUGUCUCGUGUCGGAUCUGCUGCCCAAACCAGGGCUAUGAAGCAGGUGGCAGUUACCAUAAAGCUGGAAUUGGCUUAGUAUCGCGAGGUUGCUGCUUUUGCCCGAUUUGGUUCUGACCUCAAUGCUGCCACUCAACAGCUUUUGAGUCAUGGUGUGCAUCUGAGUUGAUGAAGCCAGGACAGUAUUCUCCCAUGGCUACUGAAGAACAAGUGGCUGUUAUCUAUGCGGGUGUAAGGAGGUAUCUUGAUAAACAGGAGCCCAGCAAGAUUACAAAGUUUGAGAAUGCUUUUUUGUCUCAUGUUGUCACUCAGCACCAAGCCCUGCUAGGCACUAUCAGGGUUGAUGGAAAGAUCUCAGAAGAAUCAGAUGCAAAGUUGAAAGUGAUUUUAGCAAACUUCUUUUCUGGAUUUGAAGCUUAAACUCCUAAGGAUUCACAUCAAAUACCUGCCCAGUUUUGUCAUUGUUUGUUCUAGGAAAUUAGUUUUAUUUGUAGAAGGGUUACUCUCAUACUCUUUAUACACAGAAAUCACAUGAAAAAUAAAGGUCAAGAAAAA